rnacentral:tRNA from 1 species
GCUGAUAUGGCUCAGUUGGUAGAGCGCAUCCUUGGUAAGGAUGAGGUCCCCAGUGAUGUGGUCAAGUAAAACUGUACACA